ACCACUUAUGGGCUUUUUUGUUGAAAAUCAAGUGCAGUGUGAGUUCUUAAUCAGUUUAAUAGCUGACACGUCUUCUGUCUGAGGACAAUAUAUUGAAUGUAUUUUUGGAUCAGGGAGAUGGAAUAGGAGCUUGCUCAGUCCACUCUGAACAUCCACCUAGGUAUCGCAGUACUUCUGGGAACAGUGUACCAAAA